GGGCUGUGGCAGGGCGGGGCCUUCAGGCUGUCCAGGCAGGAGGGCAGCCUAAGGGUGCCAGGCCCCCCACCCAGGAGGUGAAGGGCCUGAGGCCAGCCUGAAGAAGUUGCCGCAAGCACCCAGAUCAUCCCCAGCUGCACGAUGACAAGAUCCUGCCCAGCAACCCCAACCUCUUCCACUGGCUGCCCGAGGAGCACGUGUGUGCUUGUGUACCUGGUGAGCAUGGGCGAUGGGCUGGGCAGGCUGGGGCCCCUGACCACAUGUGGCCUUGUCCUGCAGGUGACGGUGAUGCAUUCCAUGCAGGCCAGCUACCUGCAGAAGGCACAGAAGUACGUGGCCAAGGCCCUCACGCAGCUGGAGAGCUCCAGAGAUCCCACACUUGGGGCAGCUUCGUGGCCAGAGCCCAGCGGGAACUAUCCUCCCCUAGGAUGAGCUGCUGCUCCACGGUGGCCGGGCUGGGGUCUGAGCCCCCCGCCCCUCCCCAGUGCUCGGCUACAGCCUCAUCCUGUCGUCCUUCCAAGUCAUCCAGCUGGAGCACAUCAUCAUGUGCUGGCUGGUCAUGGUACAUGGCCACUGUGCUCCAGGGGUUGAGGGGAAGGGGUGCUUAUAUUGUGGGCAGGAGGCCAUGGGGGGUGCUUAUAUUGUGGGCAGUUUUAGGAGGUGGGUGGGCACUGGGGGGUGGGAGGGCUUGUGUUGGGGAUGGCAGUAACCCACUUGGCAGAGCACUGAGCCCUGCCCAUGCCAUUUGGCUGUCGCUCUGCAGAGUCCUGUGCAGGAAUCCACGGACCCCUCCCCAG
rnacentral:lncRNA from 1 species